rnacentral:rRNA from 1 species
UGCAAGUCGAGCGAAUCUUUAGGAGCUUGCUCCUGAAGGUUAGCGGCGGACGGGUGAGUAACACGUGGGCAACCUGCCUGUAAGACUGGGAUAACUUCGGGAAACCGGAGCUAAUACCGGAUAAUCCUUUUCCUCUCAUGAGGAAAAGCUGAAAGUCGGUUUACGCUGACACUUACAGAUGGGCCCGCGGCGCAUUAGCUAGUUGGUGAGGUAAUGGCUCACCAAGGCGACGAUGCGUAGCCGACCUGAGAGGGUGAUCGGCCACACUGGGACUGAGACACGGCCCAGACUCCUACGGGAGGCAGCAGUAGGGAAUCUUCCGCAAUGGACGAAAGUCUGACGGAGCAACGCCGCGUGAGCGAUGAAGGCCUUCGGGUCGUAAAGCUCUGUUGUUAGGGAAGAACAAGUACCGGAGUAACUGCCGGUACCUUGACGGUACCUAACCAGAAAGCCACGGCUAACUACGUGCCAGCAGCCGCGGUAAUACGUAGGUGGCAAGCGUUGUCCGGAAUUAUUGGGCGUAAAGCGCGCGCAGGCGGUCCUUUAAGUCUGAUGUGAAAGCCCACGGCUCAACCGUGGAGGGUCAUUGGAACUGGGGGACUUGAGUACAGAAGAGGAAGCGGAAUUCCACGUGUAGCGGUGAAUGCGUAGAGAUGUGGAGGACACCAGUGGCGAAGCGGCUUUCUGGUCUGUAACUGACGCUGAGCGCGAAAGCGUGGGAGC